AGAGUUUGAUUCUGGCUCAGGAUGAACGCUAGCGGCAGGCUUAACACAUGCAAGGUCGAGGGGCAGCGGGAAGUAGCAAUACUUGCCGGCGACCGGCGCACGGGUGCGUAGCGCGUAUGCAACCUGCCCGCAACAGGGGUAUAACGGAGAGAAAUUUCCACUAAUUCCCCGUAUUGCCGAUUUACCGCAUGGUAUGACGGCGAAAGGAGCGAUCCGGUUGCGGAUGGGCAUGCGUGACAUUAGCUAGUUGGUAAGGUAACGGCUUACCAAGGCGACGAUGUCUAGGGGAGCUGAGAGGCUUAUCCCCCACACUGGUACUGAGACACGGACCAGACUCCUACGGGAGGCAGCAGUGAGGAAUAUUGGUCAAUGGGAGGAAUCCUGAACCAGCCAAUGCCGCGUGCGGGAAGAAGGCCCUACGGGUUGUAAACCGCUUUUGUCCGGGAGUAAUAAGGGGGGUGCGCCCCCGAUGAGAGUACCGGGCGAAUAAGCAUCGGCUAACUCCGUGCCAGCCGCUGC
rnacentral:rRNA from 1 species